UACGGAGGGCGCAAGCGUUAAUCGGAAUCACUGGGCGUAAAGCGCGCGUAGGCGGUCUGGUAAGUCAGGCGUGAAAUCCCUCAGCUCAACUGGGGAACUGCGUUUGAUACUGCCGGACUUGAGUCCCGGAGAGGGUGGCGGAAUUCCAGGUGUAGGAGUGAAAUCCGUAGAUAUCUGGAGGAACACCGGUGGCGAAGGCGGCCACCUGGACGGGUACUGACGCUGAGGUGCGAAAGCGUGGGGAGCAAACAGG
rnacentral:rRNA from 1 species